AUUGAACGCUGGCGGCAGGCUUAACACAUGCAAGUCGAGCGGAGAUGAGGUGCUUGCACCUUAUCUUAGCGGCGGACGGGUGAGUAAUGCUUAGGAAUCUGCCUAUUAGUGGGGGACAACAUUCCGAAAGGAAUGCUAAUACCGCAUACGCCCUACGGGGGAAAGCAGGGGAUCUUCGGACCUUGCGCUAAUAGAUGAGCCUAAGUCGGAUUAGCUAGUUGGUGGGGUAAAGGCCUACCAAGGCGACGAUCUGUAGCGGGUCUGAGAGGAUGAUCCGCCACCGGGACUGAGACACGGCCCAGACUCCUACGGGAGGCAGCAGUGGGGAAUAUUGGAAAAUGGGCGGAAGCCUGAUCCAGCCAUGCCGCGUGUGUGAAGAAGGCCUUUUGGUUGUAAAGCACUUUAAGCGAGGAGGAGGCUACCUGGAUUAAUACUCUAGGAUAGUGGACGUUACUCGCAGAAUAAGCACCGGCUAACUCUGUGCCAGCAGCCGCCGUAAAAC
rnacentral:rRNA from 1 species